CCUGCCGCCGCUCGAUGGCCGACGCCGCCGCAUCACCUUCUCUUCCUUCCCUCCCUCGCGUCGCCGCCGCCGCUCAGCACCUCUCGGCCUCCCCUCCCUCGCAGCUUCUUGCCAUCCCAAUCAAGACUCGUAGAUCCCCUCGACCCCGGCCGGAUGCGAUGGCCAGGUCACCGGCGGCACCAACCCCGACCCCCAGGUCGCCGGCAGCCCCAACCCCAACCUCCACCUCGCCGGCAGCCCCAACCCCGACCCCCAGGUCGCCUGCUGCAGAGGGCUCUGAGUUCAAAUGAAUUGUUUGUUUCACAACUGAAUAUCUUGAGGAGCACAAGGGUGAGCUCUUCCGUGCCAUAAAAAUUGAGAAGGCUAAUGGCCCGGAUCUUGAGGAGCGCAAGGCUGCUAGUGAACUCCAUGUGGAACCACCAAAGUGCAAGAAAAGGAAGCGAAGUAGGCAGAGUAGUGGCGAGCUUCAUGCGGAACACCAAGAAACGAACAAAGUCGUCAUGAAGCCGUCGACAUUGAAGAAAAAGAGGAAGGUGAAGGAAUGUGCACUAAUCCACCAACACCAUUGCUUGGACCUUUGGCCGUUGACAUGGAUAAGCAUGCACCACCAAUAAGAAGAAAAGGCUUAAUAAGAGAGAUGUUGCAACUACACCAUCACUUGGAGCUUUGCUUGUUGACAAGGAUAAGAAGCCAUCACCUGGAUCUUCUCCCGUUGACAAGGAUAAGCAGCCAUCACUAUGCAAAAAGGUAGUAAGAUCUCCAGUUCUUGACAACGUGGUAGUCUCAUUUUUAGCCAUAAGGUAAAAAAAGACAAGUCACUAUCCCCGUCAUAGCCUUCACUUCUGGCUCUGUCACCCAAAGUAGCAAACCUUGGUUCACGCAGACCACGAAAAUUAAAAUCAAAAAUUUGGAAAGAGGCGGAACCAAUCUAUAUUGAUGGAAUGCUUGCACAAGGACGUUGUACUUACUUCAACCAACUAUUUCCUUCCUCAAAAAAGUCAGGGACAAGUCAUAUCAAUAAACAUUUGUUGGUAUGUGAGGAGAUAUCUAAAAUGGAUGGUAUGGUUGCCAAGCUAUGAACUGAUAGUGCAAUUGAUCCAGAGUAGAAAUUUGACCAAGGGCAUGCACGUAGAGCACUGGCAAACUUGAUUGUGCUACAUGAAUUACCUUUCACUUUUGUUGAAUAUCCUGGCUUUAGGUCCUUUGUUAAGACGUUGGAUCCAUGGUUCAACGUGGUAUGCAGAGAAACAAUUAAGCAAGAUUGCAUUGAUGCAUAUGAUAGACACAAAAAAGAAAUUCAAGCAUUUUUUAGCAAUCUAAGUUCUCAAGUAUCAUUAACGGGUGACAUGUUGACGUCCAAUCAGAAGCAGGGUUAUUUAUGCAUAACUGCCCACUUUAUUGAUGGCUCAUGGACUCUACAAAACAGAAUAAUCAGAUUUUUCCUCUUGGAAACUCCACACAACACUCAUAACAUGUUUGACAUGGUGCAAAAUAGCUUGAGAGAUUGGAAAAUUGAAGACAAAAUCUUUAGCUUUACCUUAGACAAUGCACCAGUUAAUACCUCGAUGGUUGGCCACUUGAGAAAAAAAUUGGCAGAUAGGUAUCUUCUGCAUCAUAGUGGAAAAUUAUUGCAUGUUAGAUGUACUGCACAUGUAUUGAAUCUAGUGGUGCAAGAUAGGCUCGACGCAAUGGCGUCAAUCGUUGAUAGAAUCAGAAAAGCAGUGCAGUAUGUCAAGAGUUCGCAAGGUAGAAUGGAGAAAUUUGAUGCGAUGAUUGCAUGGGUGGGACUUGCUUGUAAAAACCAUCCUACGCUAGAUGUGCCUACCCGAUGGAAUUCAACGUACCUAAUGCUUGAAUCAUCAUUGCCGUUCAGAGCAGCAUUUGAAGCCUUGAAAGAAGCUGACAAAGAUUAUAAAUUUGCUCCUUCAGCUAGUGAAUGGGAGAUGGUCGAAGCUAUUUGCCAUCUUUUGGGUGCUAUUUACACAGCCACAAAGAAAAUCUCGGUAGGACAUAUUCCACCUCUCACCUAUACUUCUAUGAGGUCUGGAAUGUGAAGCAGAUAAUGGAGAGAGAACUCAUAAGUGAAAAUCCUACCGUUGUUGCCAUGGUGAAAGAGAUGGAGAAGAAAUGGAUCAAAUAUUUUGAGGAGUCAUUCUUAACAAGUUGUCUGCCGGUGAUAUUUGAUCCAAGGUACAAAUAUAAAUAUGUUGACUUCCGACUGACCGCAACUUUUGGUGGUGGCGCAGAGAAAUAUCUUACCCAAGUGAAUAGUGCGAUGAAGAUCCUAUUUGCUGAAUAUGCAUCUGAAUUUGGAAACACUUCUGAUGAAGGUGAUGAGGUUGUAGAGGAGGAUGGUGAGGGCACUCUUGAUGACUAGGAUAAGCAUUUGAGAUUGAAAAGAUCCCACAACUCAAAUGAGCUACAACGAUAUCUUGAAGAAGAUUUGUUUCCUCGCCGACAGAAAUUGGAUAUCUUAAAGUGGUGGGAGAUUCACUCCCCAAAGUAUAUGGUGCUUGCAGCUAUAUCACGGGAUAUAUUGGCAGUGUUCGCGUCUAUAGUGCCUGCAAAGGCUGCAUUCAGCAAUGGAGGAAGGAUCAUCACUGAACAAAGAAGUAGUUUACCACGAGUACUGUUGAGACACUGAUGUGCCUCGAGGAUUGGUUUCGAGCAGCUGAUCGCCAAAAGGCAGAACCAACAGUUGGAGACCAUGGUGGUGAUCAAGAGGAUGCUGGAACCACCUAAGGACAAGGACAAUGCUGACUUGCCGGGCCAAUGAAUACCCGUCGUCAUAGAGAAAAAAAACCAUGAAAGAUGUCCCUUCCUGGCCAGUGGCAAUAGCUGCAUGCUCUCGCCGUACUGAUUUGAAAUACUAGAUAGUUGAUUCAUUGGGAAUAAGGGCGAUGUGGGGGAAAAUACAUUUUGCAGUUCGGUUGAGCUUUCAAGGGGAUGCUGCUUUUCAUGCUGCAGGAGCAGGUAGGUUAUCUGCAAACCGAGAUACUAUAAGUUGAAAAUAAGCUUGUAUCUGUGGCGUCCGCUUCCACAAAGUUCUAUUAAUAUGUUGAUGCACUAUUAUUUUAUUCAAAUUCCAAUCCAGAUUUGCUUGUUCGGAUUAAUAUGAGUUUUCAGACUUUCA